rnacentral:rRNA from 1 species
UACGUAGGGACCAAGCGUUGUUCGGAUUUACUGGGCGUAAAGGGCGCGUAGGCGGCGUGACAAGUCACUUGUGAAAUCUCUGAGCUUAACUCAGAACGGCCAAGUGAAACUGUUGUGCUAGAGUGCAGAAGGGGCAAUCGGAAUUCUUGGUGUAGCGGUGAAAUGCGUAGAUAUCAAGAGGAACACCAGUGGCGAAGGCGGCUACCUGGACCGGUUCUGACGCUGAGGCGCGAAAGCGUGGGGAGCAAACAGG